GCCCGAAUGGCGGAAUUGGUAGACGCGCUAGGUUCAGGGUCUAGUGGAUGUACUUCCGUGGGGGUUCGAGUCCCCCUUCGGGCACAA
rnacentral:tRNA from 1 species